UUUAUUGGAGAGUUUGAUCCUGGCUCAGGAUGAACGCUGGCGGCGUGCCUAAUACAUGCAAGUCGAGCGAAUGGAUUGAGAGCUUGCUCUCAAGAAGUUAGCGGCGGACGGGUGAGUAACACGUGGGUAACCUGCUCAUAAGACUGGGAUAACUCCGGGAAACCGGGGCUAAUACCGGAUAACAUUUUGAACCGCAUGGUUCGAAAUUGAAAGGCGGCU
rnacentral:rRNA from 1 species